rnacentral:lncRNA from 1 species
UUGAUCAUAAGGGAUUUAUGACUUUGAGAUGUGCUGCAAAUGCUUUCUACAAAUGUUUUCAGAGUGUACAGCUGGGCUCCAACAGAGGACAGGAACCUUCACAAAAAUGUGAAACCUCGAGACGGUGACACUUCCAUAAACAGAGGUCCCUGUGAAUAAUCUGCUUUACUAUGCUGACCAUAUAGGGUGUCGACUCUGCAGGGCAGCGGAGCGUGGCUGUGUCUGUGGAGCAGGGACAGCACUGUUUACACCAGAGCACUCAGGAUAUUAUUGAUCUUCAGAGGAACUCAAGAGCAAGUCAAGCCCAGCUGUCAGACUUUAAAACUCAUUUGUAAUGAGGAGCUCUUCGCUUAUAAACACUCACAAUCUUUGCACCAAAUGGCAGCAGGCUGGAUUAAAAACAAUGAAUUGAAAAGGUGGAGGGUUUGCAAUAGCAGACUGAGGAGAGAAGAAGAGUCAAAGCCUGACCUUACUAUGACUGGGCUACAUGGAAGAGUCUGUUAUUAAGAUUGAGAGAGAACUCCUCGGGGAGUCUUUACGGUAACGUGUCUGUGGAAUUUAGCUCAGAUCAGCCAACAUUCAGGGCCCCUUUAAGGGAUACCUUUGACGAUUGUACUCCAAUAUUUUUUCUUUGCCUGGCACGUGACCGAUAUUAGAAAAAAGAAAUCCACAUUUGUCCUUGAGCUACCCUAAAACAGACGUCAGCUUUGCCCUUUGAGGCUGACUGGUGCCUCUUGUGCAAGCUACUACCAACUGCACUAAUGCCAAAUAUGAGCAGUACAGGACAUUGUUUUUGUGAAACAACAAAACAAAACAGAGACAUUAUUCCUCAGAAAUGACUUUGCUCUUUUAUCACAGAUACUAUCCUUCAAACAAAGUCCCUGUUUUAGUAAGUAAGUCUCACGUCUGGCUAUAAGUCGUCAUGUUCUGUUUACAAAAUGUAAAGCCGUUUUAAAUGUUUGAAUAGGGUAACAGUUAUAUUGUAAAUGUACAGAAAUAAUGAUUACAAUUAUUUGUCAUUUCUGAGCCGAAUGUUUUGAAUGUUACUGUCCAUUCUAUUUCUCUUCACAUCUGAAUGUGAGACUUGGACAUCAUCUGUGGGGCCUCUGCUGCUUUCUGCUGCUCAUGCAUUGGCUGCUGUUGGAAUGAUUCCAUCUUUUUUUCUUUUUAUUCUAGUUUUUGAAUUAUUGGGA